UGCAGUGAUGUACUCUGAGAAAUAUUUAAUCGGUGCCCUUUCCUCAGAGUACAUGAGACAGUUGGUGCUAGCCAGCUGGCCUCCUGAUACUCCAUGACACAGAGGGAGCCCCGUCCAAGUUUACUUUCCAUCCAUCUAUUUUUGAAUCCUUUUAACACUUUAUGAGAGAGAAAGAGACAGAACAACAGAACAGGCAGCAGGCGGUGUUUAACCCCACAAAGCCACUGUUGAGCCUGAAAGCUUGGGAGCAAAUACAAUUCCUCUGGCACCUUGUCAUAAAAUAUGAAGAGUCCGUUAUCUCACCAGAUGAUUAGUCUAUGGAUUCCAUGAUCUGGCAUCCUUACAGAUUUACAAAAGAGAGAGGGAGACAGAGAGAGGUCUGUGCUGAGAUGUUUAGAGAGAAGGAUUUGGGGUUCAAGCCGCAGCAAUAUUAAUGAGGAAAGGGAGGAUGGAGCAGCCCAGAGAAGGAAUGCACUGCUCACAUCAGUUUCAAAAGAGACAGUGAAGAAGACACACAAACAUUCCUAAGUUCUUGCCUUGGCUGGAUAACCCGGCUGCAAAAGCACACCCAUGCCAGUGGUAGGGGAAUGUGGCUAUUUAUGCCAGCUCAAAGUACCAAUGAACAACUCCUCUCUGGUAUACAGCAAGAGCAAAAACUUACAGCUGAAUUCACUUGGUUCAGUGAACUUGGAUGGGAAGUUGGAGCAUGUCUACAGACCAGAUGAUGCUCUCCAGAAACAAAAUACUUGAACUGGCACACACCAAAGGACUGCCGGGCUCUUGGGUUGCUGAAUUUAGGGUAUGGCCACAACUUCCUGAUCUCAAUCUGUGAGAACACAGUUGGUGGAAUUCUUACAGCCCCAACUCUGGAGAAUGGAAUAAACACAAGAGGUAUUCUUCUCUUGACUAUUACCCUCUAAAAAAUACUUCCAAACCAAGUUCAGACCUUUUUCCUUCUUACCAAGGUUGAAUAGAUUCCAUCUUUCAGAACAUUUUCACAUACAUGUCAAACUUAGAAAAUAGCAGACCUAUUUCCAACACCCUUGUCCAGAACAACCUCAUCCCAGUACCUCUGCUCCCCUUGGUCCCAAGUCUCCUAACUCUGGAUCUUACAGAGCUUUUCCAGAAUUGGCCAAAAAUCUGAACCCUAUCACAAGGUCCAGCUGGACAAGCAGGAAGUUACACACCUAGGCUACAAGACGAGAACCACCGGCUAGCUCCCACCCUUCCCCUGGGCACGUGCCUACCUGGGGCUUGUCAGCAGGAAGGCUGGGGUGCACGCUUCUGUAGCCCUUGGCAGCAAGUGAGGAGGGCUGGGCGUUCCCAUUGGCAUCAGCAUUGGAAGAGAGCCUCCACUCAUCUGAGGGAUGGGGGGAGAAAACAAACUGUCACUCACGGGGAACACUCCCAGUUCUGCUAUAAUUCAGGGAUCCCUGGUGGAAGGCAGAGACAGUAGGAGUACAGGAGAAAGCAUACCUGCUGAAGAAUUCUCUGGCUCCAGACCUAUGUGUGGGGCAGAAAGGAUAAAGAAAGAAGAAAAGGGGAAAAACAGAAAUGGUUACAUUUGCAGGAAACAAGCAUGAGCUACAUAGAAGAACGAAAAGCCAGCACCCCAUUGUCUGACACAAAGUGCCCUCAGUCACGAUGGCCUGAUUACCAUAGGAACCCACUCUAAACCAUGAUGUGCUCACAGGCACUGACCUUUGAAAACACAAGGCUCACAUUCACAGGAAUGAAGAAACAAUUGUUCCUUGACAUUCUUAUUUUACAGACAGAAAGGCAACAGAACUCUCUACUGUCCAAUUACUCACUAACUCUCGUUCCCCUUCCUCGGGCCUGCUGUGGGCACAGAAUGACCACCCCUCACUAGCAGACUGGGCUGACUGACAGGCCCUGCACAGGAAGUGCUCAGGCCCUUUUUCUAGGAGUGGUUUUACUGUGUAGAACAGGAUUUGCACCCAGAGGUAUCUGUUGAGAGAACUUUUUCUGUCUCUGCCUGCUU